GCAAAGUUCCUUGAAGCUUGGUUCCUUGGGCCUGGAAUGAAGAAUGGAUUUUGUCUGAUGAUCUGUUGCUAUCAACCUACUGUUGUGCAUUUUGGGUUAUAAAUCCCAACGAUGAGAAAGAUGACCUGCACAUGUUACAGGAGAUAUCAUCUUUACUCACUGUUCAAAUGUCGGCACAAACUCUCCAUAGAAAUGCUGCCUGAGACUGUCACACUGCUGCAAGCACAAGAACAAAACAACAGGACACUCACCACCACCAUCACUGCCAAACAACAAUGAAGAGAAAAACAAACAAAAACACAGCGCGGACAACAGGAGGUGCUCAGACACGCAGGCUUCUGCAGCAUGGGCUUUGAAUAAGACCAUCACAUUUUGUCUAACUUAAGGAGAAGGUUCUGGAAACAGAAGGGUAACAUAGAGCUGCAUGUUUCAUUCAUUCUCUUCUGAGAAAUAUUUCUUAUGCGCCAGAUGAGGUAAUUGAGAAGCACAAAUUUGCUGACUAAUCAGUUGGGAAGUAAAUUUUCCUGCUAGUCAAAUGGAUUAGUUAGGAUGUGCGGGAACACAUGUGCAUGCAGGGUGCAGCCCAGACAGAAGCAGUGCUCCUGAGAUGCUGCAUGUGAACUAUGGAGUUUGGAGGAAGGCCGGGGUCAGACUUUCCCUUUUGGGUUAUUCUUAACCUUCUAAGCAUGCUGCUUCACUUAAGAAAAUGAAUGUGGAAUUUUUAGCUGAUUUUUUUAAUGGCUUAGAGGUGUAAUGUGAAGACUUUAUUUUGUACCUGCCUCUUAGUAGAGACUAUGUGAUAUCCUCUGGAUUAAAACUAACUUUAAAAUUUCAACUAUCAAACUCAAGUUCUGGCAACCGAUCCUUUCCAGUGCUUUGAUUUAUACAGUCAGAUUCACAGCCAGUUCACAGGCUGUGGGACUUAAACCAAAGCAAAUUUCUCCACUAGCUCAUUGCAAUGCUUUUGAUGCAAGUCUCAUUACCAUCAAUUUGUCAGAGGCUAAGCUUCUACCCGAGACACAUAAAAUGUGGGAUUCCCCAGUGUUAGCCCUGCACUGUGGCUCCCAGGCUAUAGCGUGUGGUGUCUGGUUCUGAGGGCCGUGCUUCCUAUAUGCCUAGGACACCAGGUCCACUGAGUAUUAGGAGAAAAGCUGCUCCAUGCGUUUCUGUAGUUUCUUGAUGUGCUUUGUUUAGCUUCUCUGGAUUUCCCUUGCCUCUAUAUUCUGAUCUUAGUUUGCUAUGGCCCAAGUUAAUAAAAGCCAAAGGAUGGAGGCAGAUUGUGUUUUGAGAACUAUAGAACACUGGACCCCCUCCCCUCAUACCACACCUGGAGAGACUUGUGUGAUUUAGAGACCCUGUCCUUCCCCACCAUCCUGAAAGUCUUAGCACGGAGACCAGCCCUCCCUUAGACACAGUGUGACACUGCCUUUCAUUCUCUAAUUGGGCUGAGAGCCUCUCUUUCCUCCCUGCAGAUUUUAACCUUCAUCUGGGCAGGGCCUGGGUCUGCUUCCUCCUUCACUGCCAGCUGACAGCGCUGAGCUGGUGCCCCUGCUAGUCGUCUGUCAUUAGCUAUUUAACCAGCAGAGUUAAUAGGUAAGAAGGACACACAAGCCUUUAAAAGCCUAAAUGUCUUAUUUGUAGGAAAUUCUCCGAGUGCGUAUUAUGUACCAGGCGUUGUGUUGAAUUAUCCAUGUAGUCAUUAAAACGGACUUGGGAAGUGAGUCCUUUGUUGAUUUGGCUGGGAAGACUGGGGUUUCCUCAUGCCAUGCCGCUAUUUAGUGACAGGAGGGACCUGAAUUUGAGCCAGAGCUGAAUUUAUACAGAAAUGUAAGAUAUUUAGCCACAACCUGAGUGGGAAGGUGGCUGCACUGUGGCUCCCAGACACCACCAACCAAACCCCUCUGGAAACAAACAAGGAGUUUUGAUCGGUAAGCUUGUCUUUUCUCUCAGGAAGUUAGUCAGGGGAUGAAAGUCUGAACCCAAAGCCAGCAGAUGUAUCCUGGUGUCCUCACUACUAGCCAGUUGCAUCCCAAAGCUAGGGAUAGAGUCGUGGUUACAAAGCAGACUUGGUGGCUGAGGAUUGUCACAAGUUCGAGGCCAGACUUGGCUACAUAUUGAGUUCAGAGUUCAACCUGAGUUUUAUAGCAAAACUCUAUCUCAAAAAAAAAAAAAAAAUCCACCUUAAAAACAAAACAAAACAACAUGGACUCCAACACCAGACUGCUUUGACUUGAAGGCCAGCUCUGCCUCUCCCCACCUGCGAGGUCAGUAAAAGGUAGUUUUUUCACUUCUAGCUUCCACAAAUGCCAAGUGAUGAUUAAUAGCAGUAACUGUCCAUAAGGUUAAGCAAACACACAUGUCCCGGUGAGCCCCGGGAUUGUAUGGAAUAUCUAUUCAGUGGAUUUAGCUUUUCUUUCCUUGUUUUUUUAGUAGAGCAUGUUCUUCAUGAAAUCAGGGAUUUUUACCUUGCUGUGCUCCCUGGCGUAUCUGAAGACUUUAGAACUGUUUUCCAGCACACCAUGAACACACAAGGUUCCUGCCACAUGUGUGGCAGGAGCGCUUUCAAGUCUCAGAGACUCUGCGAUCUCCUCUAUAAUUUGGAAACAGCGGCUCGUGUCUUACACAGCUCCCCACACUGGUGCGGUGGCCAGACAGGAUGCGGACUUCCUGAAGUCCUUCAGAAAAGUCUCAGAGGCGGGGAGGAAAAACUCUGCAACCUUUGCUUUGGUUAUUUUCAGUAGGCAGAAUGGCCCAGAAGAGAAAGCGUUAAUGUAAAUGUCCGUAAGGUACAGAUGGUGCUUGUGAAGAAACAGCCUAUUUUUCAAUUUGUAGAAAUGAUUAGCUCGCAUCCCACUGUGUCCACUGCAUGGGCCACUGCUACUUGUAAUUCGUGCCAAUAGGAUGGAGGGAUGGACUUUAAUGAGGGCCUGUGUUUUCUAAUCAUGGGCAACGUUGUGGGAACUGCCAGAGGGGGUGGGGAAGGUGAAAGAUAAUUGGGGGUUCAGAAAACGGGGCUGUUCCUUGGGGACAGAAGGGUGCUUUGCUGCCUUCCCAG